rnacentral:rRNA from 1 species
GAUGAACGCUGGCGGCGUGCUUAACACAUGCAAGUCGAACGGAAAGGCCCUGCUUCUGUGGGGUGCUCGAGUGGCGAACGGAUGAGUAACUAGUGAGUAACUUGCCUUUGACUUUGGGAUAACUUCAGGAAACUGGGGCUAAUACCGGAUAGGUGUUCCUGCUGCAUGGCGGGGGUUGGAAAGUUUCGGCGGUUGGGGAUGGACUCGCGGCUUAUCAGCUUGCUGGUGGGGUAGUGGCUUACCAAGGCUUUGACGGGUAGCGGGCCUGAGAGGGUGACCGGCCACAUUGGGACUGAGGUACGGCCCAGACUCCUACGGGAGGCAGAAGUGGGGAAUAUUGCACAGUGGGCGGAAGCCUGGUGCAGCAACGCCGCGUGCGGGAUGGGGGCCUUCGGGUUUUAGACCUCUUUCGCCUGUGACAAAGCGUGAGUGACGGUAAUGGGUUAAGAAGCGCCGGCUAACUACGUG